GACGUAGGGCGCGAGCGUUGUCCGGAUUUAUUGGGCGUAAAGAGCUCGUAGGCGGUCUGUCGCGUCGGCUGUGAAAACCCGGAGCUCAACUCCGGGCCUGCAGUCGAUACGGGCAAACUGGAGUGUUGCAGGGGAGACUGGAAUUCCUGGUGUAGCGGUGAAAUGCGCAGAUAUCAGGAGGAACACCGGUGGCGAAGGCGGGUCUCUGGGCCGAAACUGACGCUGAGGAGCGAAAGCGUGGGGAGCAAACAGG
rnacentral:rRNA from 1 species